AAGGUCUUAGCUUAAUUUAAAGUAUCUGGGUUGCAUUCAGAAGAUGUAGUUAGAGUUCUACAGAUUUUA
rnacentral:tRNA from 1 species